rnacentral:rRNA from 1 species
GCCAGCAGGCAUAUCACUCUGCAGCCCACAGCUGACAACCCACUGAAGCUAAGCAGGGGUGAGCCUGGUUAGUACCUGGAUGGGAGACCUCCUGGGAAAGCUAAGAUUGCUGCUGGAA